GAAGCCCACAGUCGGUAACGAUUGUCGGGCAAUGUAGUGUUUGGGAGAGCCCGUUUAACCCGAGCGCUGUGUAACGUGUCCAAGUCCUUCUUGAACGGGGCCACACUCCCAUAGAGGGUGCCAGGCCCGUAGUGACCGUUACCUUGUUCGGGUGGGUUUCUCCUUAAAGUCGGGUUGCUUGAGAGUGCAGCUCUAAGUGGGUGGUAAACUCCAUCUAAGGCUAAAUAUAACCACGAGACCGAUAGCGAACAAGUACCGUGAGGGAAAGUUGAAAAGAACUUUGAAGAGAGAGUUCAAUAGUACGUGAAACCGUUCAGGGGUAAACCUGAAAAACCCGAAAGUUCGAAUGGGGAGAUUCAAACGUCUCGCCGGUGUUGACCUUACGUUAGCGAUAUUACGAGACGGUAUAUAACACUUGUGUUAUAUUGAUCGCUCCGUUAGCGUUUGUUUGUUUGAUGCCGGAGAUGUGCACUUCUCCCCUUGUAGAACGUCGCAACCCGUUGGGUGCCCAUCUAAGGCUUAUGCGGUCAGACCGUAGUGAUAAAGUUUUGCUUUACCGUUGCGGACCCAUAAUGUCCCGAUAGGCACGCUCGACGCUAUAACAUAAUGAUGGUAGAUCGCUGUUGCUCUUUGUGGCAGUAAAGCGUUCUGGCCCGUGUCAAGUGUAUAUACAGUCUGUAGACAUCGGACCUAGUUGCCGGUUCUGCGUGUAUAUCACUGUUAGGCAUGGUGUCCUCUAGAACCGGUCUUCUUUCAUCCGUUAGCGACGCUUCAGCUUUGGGUAAUUUCAGGACCCGUCUUGAAACACGGACCAAGGAGUCUAGCAUGUACGCAAGUCAUUGGGACUAAAUUAAACCUAAAGGCGUAAUGAAAGUAAAGGUUAUACCUUGUGUAUAUACCGAGGGAGGAUGAGCGACACAAGUUGUUACUUCGCACUCCCGGGGCGUUCCGCACUCAUUGCGAUAGUCGGGCGCGCAAAGAUGGUACACUAUCA
rnacentral:rRNA from 1 species